rnacentral:misc_RNA from 1 species
AACGCAUCUUGCGCUCCUUGGUAUUCCGAGGAGCAUGCCUGUUUGAGUGUCAUUAAAUUCUGUCAAAACAUGCACUUGAGUGUGUUUUGGAUUGUGGGAGUGUCUGCUGGCUUUAUGAGCCAGCUCUCCUGAAAUACAUUAGCUUUGGGGGGGGAGGUGCCAAGUCACUUCUGCCUUUCCAUUGGUGUGAUAGAUGAAUUAACUUAUCUACGCCAGGAAAGCAGGCUUCAGGUGAUGCACUGUGAUCUCUCUCUGCUCUCUAAUUGACAUUUGUCUGAUAACUUGACCUCAAAUCAGGUAGGACUACCCGCUGAACUUAA